rnacentral:tRNA from 1 species
GCCUGGGUGGCACAGCGGUUAAGCGUCUGCCUUCGACUCAGGGCGUGAUCCCGGCAUUGUGGGUUCGAGCCCCACAUCAGGCU